rnacentral:rRNA from 1 species
CCAGCAACUAAGCUACUAAAGGACUAAAUUGUUAGUGGCGGACGGGUGAGUAACACGUUGGAACCUGCCCCAAAGUAAGGAAUAACUGCCCAAAGGGUAGCUAAUACCUUAUAAUAUCCAAUUUGUUUGGAUUAAAGCUUUAUGUGCUUUGGAGGGGCCUGCGUCUGAUUAGCUAGUUGGUGAGGUAAAAGCUCACCAAGGCGACGAUCAGUAGCUGGUUUGAGAGGACGACCAGCCACACUGGGACUGAGAUACGGCCCAGACUCCUACGGGAGGCAGCAGUAAGGAAUCUUCCACAAUGGGGGCAACCCUGAUGGAGCAAUGCCGCGUGCAGGAUGAAGCGUUUCGGCGUGUAAACUGCUUUUAUCACCGAAGAUUAUGACGGUAGGUGAAGAAUAAGGACCGGCUAACUACGUG